UGGAGCAUCGACGAUGAUGAUGCUCCAGAGCUGUCAAUCCGGAUAGGGCGGCCCAUAGCCGCCACAAGCCCGACGGGGUCCCUCCGGGUGUGCGGGGUUUUGGGUCUUAGGAGACCUUGACAGUCGUGUCUUGCUUAUUGUGCUCCCUGUGAGGCUCCUCCAGCAACGUGUUUUGCAUAUUGCGAUCAUUGCUGGCUCAAAGUCGGUUAGGUCCUACAUUGAGCGAUCUAGCUCCUUAUCGAGUUUGUGACGUCAUUAAGCAUCAACAACGUUUUGGCAACUCUGCUGUGGAAUGCUCAGGAUGUGGAACAAUAGUCAGAACAGCAAGUUCACCGGUCCAAUGGGUCAAGAAAGCAUCAUCAAGUCUUCAACCAAAGCUGCAGAAAAAGGCAUAUGGGUUUACCAAAGAAUUUCCUGCUUUUCAGGCUAUGAGUAAGCUUGUGUCUAAAUUAGAUCAAUUAGAGGAAAGCGUGUUUGGUGCUACACAUAUUAGUGAAUUGAUCCUGGGUUUUAGUUAACCUCAA